UACGUAGGGUGCGAGCGUUGUCCGGAAUUAUUGGGCGUAAAGAGCUCGUAGGCGGCCUGUUACGUCUGCUGUGAAAGCCCGGGGCUCAACUCCGGGUCUGCAGUGGAUACGGGCAGGCUAGAGUCCGGCAGGGGAGACUGGAAUUCCUGGUGUAGCGGUGAAAUGCGCAGAUAUCAGGAGGAACACCGAUGGCGAAGGCAGGUCUCUGGGCUGACACUGACGCUCAUGCACGAAAGCGUGGGGAGCAAAACGG
rnacentral:rRNA from 1 species